GACAGAGGGUGCAAACGUUGUUCGGAAUUACUGGGCGUAAAGGGCGCGUAGGCGGACAGUUUAGUCAGAGGUGAAAGCCCAGGGCUCAACCUUGGAAUUGCCUUUGAUACUGGCUGUCUUGAGUUCGGGAGAGGUGAGUGGAAUGCCGAGUGUAGAGGUGAAAUUCGUAGAUAUUCGGCGGAACACCAGUGGCGAAGGCGACUCACUGGCCCGAUACUGACGCUGAGGCGCGAAAGCUAGGGGAGCGAACGGG
rnacentral:rRNA from 1 species